rnacentral:rRNA from 1 species
GAGUUUGAUCAUGGCUCAGGACGAACGCUGGCGGCGUGCCUAAUACAUGCAAGUAGAACGCUGAAGAGAGGAGCUUGCUCUUCUUGGAUGAGUUGCGAACGGGUGAGUAACGCGUAGGUAACCUGCCUUGUAGCGGGGGAUAACUAUUGGAAACGAUAGCUAAUACCGCAUAACAAUAGGUGACACAUGUCAUUUAUUUGAAAGGGGCAAUUGCUCCACUACAAGAUGGACCUGCGUUGUAUUAGCUAGUAGGUGAGGUAACGGCUCACCUAGGCGACGAUACAUAGCCGACCUGAGAGGGUGAUCGGCCACACUGGGACUGAGACACGGCCCAGACUCCUACGGGAGGCAGCAGUAGGGAAUCUUCGGCAAUGGGGGCAACCCUGACCGAGCAACGCCGCGUGAGUGAAGAAGGUUUUCGGAUCGUAAAGCUCUGUUGUAAGUCAAGAACGAGUGUGAGAGUGGAAAGUUCACACUGUGACGGUAGCUUACCAGAAAGGGACGGCUAACUACGUGCCAGCAGCCGCGGUAAUACGUAGGUCCCGAGCGUUGUCCGGAUUUAUUGGGCGUAAAGCGAGCGCAGGCGGUUUGAUAAGUCUGAAGUUAAAGGCUGUGGCUCAACCAUAGUUCGCUUUGGAAACUGUCAAACUUGAGUGCAGAAGGGGAGAGUGGAAUUCCAUGUGUAGCGGUGAAAUGCGUAGAUAUAUGGAGGAACACCGGUGGCGAAAGCGGCUCUCUGGUCUGUAACUGACGCUGAGGCUCGAAAGCGUGGGGAGCGAACAGGAUUAGAUACCCUGGUAGUCCACGCCGUAAACGAUGAGUGCUAGGUGUUGGAUCCUUUCCGGGAUUCAGUGCCGCAGCUAACGCAUUAAGCACUCCGCCUGGGGAGUACGACCGCAAGGUUGAAACUCAAAGGAAUUGACGGGGGCCCGCACAAGCGGUGGAGCAUGUGGUUUAAUUCGAAGCAACGCGAAGAACCUUACCAGGUCUUGACAUCCCGAUGCUAUUUCUAGAGAUAGAAAGUUACUUCGGUACAUCGGUGACAGGUGGUGCAUGGUUGUCGUCAGCUCGUGUCGUGAGAUGUUGGGUUAAGUCCCGCAACGAGCGCAACCCCUAUUGUUAGUUGCCAUCAUUCAGUUGGGCACUCUAGCGAGACUGCCGGUAAUAAACCGGAGGAAGGUGGGGAUGACGUCAAAUCAUCAUGCCCCUUAUGACCUGGGCUACACACGUGCUACAAUGGUUGGUACAACGAGUUGCGAGUCGGUGACGGCAAGCUAAUCUCUUAAAGCCAAUCUCAGUUCGGAUUGUAGGCUGCAACUCACCUACAUGAAGUCGGAAUCGCUAGUAAUCGCGGAUCAGCACGCCGCGGUGAAUACGUUCCCGGGCCUUGCACACACCGCCCGUC